rnacentral:tRNA from 1 species
GCCCACGUAGCUCAGCCGGCAGAGCAACCGCCUUGUAAGCGGUCGGUCGUCGGUUCGAAUCCGACCGUGGGCU